rnacentral:rRNA from 1 species
GAUGAACGCUAGCUACAGGCUUAACACAUGCAAGUCGCGGGACCGGCGCACGGGUGAGUAACGCGUAUCCAACCUGCCCUUCACCACGGGAUAACCCGGCGAACGUCGGACUAAUACCGUCUGGUGACGGUAGGUGGUGGUUCCGAUUAGCGUGACGGCGGGGGAACGGCCACGCGUGGCUACGAUCGGUAGGGGUUCAGAGAGGAAGGUCCCCCACACUGGAACUGGGACACGGUCCAGACUCCGACGGGAGGCAGCAGUGAGGAAGAUUGGGCAAUGGGCGGAAGCCUGAACCAGCCAAGUAGCGUGCAGGACGACGGCCUAUGGGUUGUAAACUGCUUUUAUGCGGGGAUAGGUACCGCAUGAAUAAGGACCGGCUAAUUCCGUGCCAGCAGCCGCGGUAAUAC